rnacentral:rRNA from 1 species
AUUGAACGCUGGCGGCAAGCCUAACACAUGCAAGUCGAGCGGAUGAGAGGAGCUUGCUUCUCGAUUCAGCGGCGGACGGGUGAGUAAUGCCUAGGAAUCUGCCUGGUAGUGGGGGACAACGUUUCGAAAGGAACGCUAAUACCGCAUACGUCCUACGGGAGAAAGCAGGGGACCUUCGGGCCUUGCGCUAUCAGAUGAGCCUAGGUCGGGUUAGCUAGUUGGUGAGGUAAUGGCUCACCAAGGCGACGAUCCGUAACUGGUCUGAGAGGAUGAUCAGUCACGCUGGAACUGAGGCACGGUCCAGACUCCUACGGGAGGCAACAGUGGGGAAUAGUGGACAAUGGGCGGAAGCCUGAUCCAGCCAUGCCGCGUGUGUGAAGAAGGUCUUCGGAUUGUAAAGCACUUUAAAUUGGGAGGAAGGGUUGUAGAUUAAUACUCUGCAAUUUUGACGUUACCGACAGAAUAAGCACCGGCUAACUCUGUGCCAGCCGCCGCCGUAACAC